rnacentral:rRNA from 1 species
AGAGUUUGAUCAUGGCUCAGAUUGAACGCUGGCGGCAUGCCUUACACAUGCAAGUCGAACGGCAGCACGGGGGCAACCCUGGUGGCGAGUGGCGAACGGGUGAGUAAUACAUCGGAACGUGUCCUGGAGUGGGGGAUAGCCCGGCGAAAGCCGGAUUAAUACCGCAUACGCUCUACGGAGGAAAGGGGGGGAUCGCAAGACCUCUCGCUCAAGGGGCGGCCGAUGGCAGAUUAGCUAGUUGGUGGGGUAAAGGCCUACCAAGGCGACGAUCUGUAGCUGGUCUGAGAGGACGACCAGCCACACUGGGACUGAGACACGGCCCAGACUCCUACGGGAGGCAGCAGUGGGGAAUUUUGGACAAUGGGCGCAAGCCUGAUCCAGCAAUGCCGCGUGUGUGAAGAAGGCCUUCGGGUUGUAAAGCACUUUUGUCCGGAAAGAAAACUUCCUGGUUAAUACCUGGGGAGGAUGACGGUACCGGAAGAAUAAGCACCGGCUAACUACGUGCCAGCAGCCGCGGUAAUACGUAGGGUGCGAGCGUUAAUCGGAAUUACUGGGCGUAAAGCGUGCGCAGGCGGUCUGUUAAGACAGAUGUGAAAUCCCCGGGCUUAACCUGGGAACUGCAUUUGUGACUGGCAGGCUAGAGUAUGGCAGAGGGGGGUAGAAUUCCACGUAGCAGUGAAAUGCGUAGAGAUGUGGAGGAAUACCGAUGGCGAAGGCAGCCCCCUGGGCCAAUACUGACGCUCAUGCACGAAAGCGUGGGGAGCAAACAGGAUUAGAUACCCUAGUAGUCC